rnacentral:rRNA from 1 species
AUUGAACGCUGGCGGAAUGCUUUACACAUGCAAGUCGAACGGCAGCACGGACUUCGGUCUGGUGGCGAGUGGCGAACGGGUGAGUAAUGUAUCGGAACGUGCCCAGUCGUUGGGGAUAACGUAGUGAAAAUUACGCUAAUACCGCAUACGAUCUAUGGAUGAAAGCGGGGGAUCGCAAGACCUCGCGCGAUUGGAGCGGCCGAUAUCAGAUUAGGUAGUUGGUGGGGUAAAGGCCCACCAAGCCAACGAUCUGUAGCUGGUCUGAGAGGACGACCAGCCACACUGGAACUGGGACACGGUCCAGACUCCUACGGGAGGCAGCAGUGGGGAAUUUUGGACAAUGGGCGAAAGCCUGAUCCAGCCAUUCCGCGUGCAGGAUGAAGGCCCUCGGGUUGUAAACUGCUUUUGUACAGAACGAAAAGGUUUCUACUAAUACUAGGAGCUCAUGACGGUACUGCAAGAAUAAGCACCGGCUAACUACGUGCCAGCAGCCGCCGUAA